GGAGGCGAACCGGGGGAACUGAAACAUCUAAGUACCCCGAGGAAAAGAAAUCAACCGAGAUUCCGAAAGUAGCGGCGAGCGAAAUUGGACUAGCCCUUAAGCUUUACACGCGUUAGACGAACGGUCUGGAAAGUCCGACGAUACAGGGUGAUAGUCCCGUAGUUGACGACGUGUGUUCAGUGAAAUCGAGUAGGGCGGGACACGUGAUAUCCUGUCUGAAUAUGGGGGGACCAUCCUCCAAGGCUAAAUACUACUGACUGACCGAUAGUGAACCAGUACCGUGAGGGAAAGGCGAAAA
rnacentral:rRNA from 17 species